AACCUGGGAACUGCAUCUGAUACUGGCAAGCUUGAGUCUCGUAGAGGGGGGUAGAAUUCCAGGUGUAGCGGUGAAAUGCGUAGAGAUCUGGAGGAAUACCGGUGGCGAAGGCGGCCCCCUGGACGAAGACUGACGCUCAGGUGCGAAAGCGUGGGGAGCAAACAGGAUUAGAUACCCUGGUAGUCCACGCCGUAAACGAUGUCGACUUGGAGGUUGUGCCCUUGAGGCGUGGCUUCCGGAGCUAACGCGUUAAGUCGACCGCCUGGGGAGUACGGCCGCAAGGUUAAAACUCAAAUGAAUUGACGGGGGCCCGCACAAGCGGUGGAGCAUGUGGUUUAAUUCGAUGCAACGCGAAGAACCUUACCUGGUCUUGACAUCCACAGAACCUUGUAGAGAUACGAGGGUGCCUUCGGGAAC
rnacentral:rRNA from 1 species